GGUUAGUGUGGGUUUUAUAAAAUCUAUAAAAUCAGUUUCUCUGUGUGUGUUUUAUACAGUGUGUCGUCUGAUGGUGAAUUCUCCCCCCGGCCGAUGUCUAAAUCAAAGAAGAAGAAGAAGAAAUCAGAGAGGAAGAGGAGGAGAGAACGGUCAGUAAAGUUACGCUACAACUUUCUACGUUCAGCUUCUCUCUCACUCUCAGAGUUACUGUAUAAUUAAGUAUUAAAAUAAAUCACCACAAUCCUCCAGGUCAUCCUCCGCUAGCGUGUCACCGGUAAGGAAGAAGAAGAAGAAGAAGAAGAGCUCGAAGAAGAGGAAGCAGCACAGGUCUGCUUCCAAGAAGAGACGGCACAGCUCUUCCUGCAGCAGACGCAAAAGGAAGGAGGAGAGAAGAAAACGUAAAAAGAGGUCUCGGAGCGACUCCCAUCACAAACACCGUCUGAGGAGGGCAGAGCCUCACAGCCCUGACUGGACACCUACAGCCAUAGAUAACAGAUCUGAAGAUCAUGGUAAAUCUGGCUGUGGAGACGGCACUCAUCCUCCGGGGGACCUCAGGAGAAGUUUAGAGUGGGGGUCAGCCGUCAAGCUAGCCAAUAAAA
ensembl:lncRNA